rnacentral:piRNA from 1 species
UAACCAUAAGCAUAAUGGCGCCGUGGUAC